GAUGAACGCUGGCGGCGUGCCUAAUACAUGCAAGUCGAGCGAACAGACGAGGAGCUUGCUCCUCUGACGUUAGCGGCGGACGGGCGAGUAACACGUGGAUAACCUACCUAUAAGACUGGGAUAACUUCGGGAAACCGGAGCUAAUACCGGAUAAUAUAUUGAACCGCAUGGUUCAAUAGUGAAAGACGGUUUUGCUGUCACUUAUAGAUGGAUCCGCGCCGCAUUAGCUAGUUGGUAAGGUAACGGCUUACCAAGGCGACGAUGCGUAGCCGACCUGAGAGGGUGAUCGGCCACACUGGAACUGAGACACGGUCCAGACUCCUACGGGAGGCAGCAGUAGGGAAUCUUGCGCAAGGGGCGAAAGCCUGACGGAGCAACGCCGCGUGAGUGAUGAAGGUCUUCGGAUCGUAAAACUCUGUUAUUAGGGAAGAACAAAUGUGUAAGUAACUAUGCACGUCUUGACGGUACCUAAUCAGAAAGCCACGGCUAACUACGUG
rnacentral:rRNA from 1 species